UGGCUCUCACAUCAGAGGCAGACUCUCAGCUCGUCUGUGUGGGAGGAUGCAGGAGCUAUUUCCAUUUUAUUUCAUAUUCGUCACGAACUGUGUGUCCCACAGACAUGAGAAGCCACAGAACAAAGCCAGGCAGAAGGCUUAAUCAGGUCAGCAGCAUUUGAUAGGAAAAUAAGUACCUUCUUGACACUCUAUGGAUUAUAGAAAUUAUGCCUGGUAAAGCUACCUGUUUUCUGACAAGCCAUCCUUUUCAGCUAAAAUUUUCCACUCCUGGAUUCAGCCCAAAGGUGAGUUUAUUUUGGAAAGU
rnacentral:lncRNA from 1 species